CCUACGGGUGGCAGCAGUGGGGAAUCUUCCGCAAUGGACGAAAGUCUGACGGAGCAACGCCGCGUGAGUGAUGACGGCCGUCGGGUUGUAAAGCUCUGGUAAUCGGGACGAAAGGCCUUCUUGCGAAUAGUGAGAAGGAUUGACGGUACCGGAAUAGAAAGCCACGGCUAACUACGUGCCAGCAGCCGCGGUAAUACGUAGGUGGCAAGCGUUGUCCGGAAUUAUUGGGCGGAAAGCGCGCGCAGGCGGAUAGGUCAGUCUGUCUUAAAAGGUCGGGGCUUAACCCCGUGAUGGGAUGGAAACUGCCAAUCUAGAGUAUCGGAGAGGAAAGUGGAAUUCCUAGUGUAGCGGUGAAAUGCGUAGAUAUUAGGAAGAACACCAGUGGCGAAGGCGACUUUCUGGACGAACACUGACGCUGAGGCGCGAAAGCCAGGGGAGCGAACGGGAUUAGAUACCCUUGUAGUC
rnacentral:rRNA from 1 species